rnacentral:rRNA from 1 species
AGACGUCUACAUUAGAUACCCCCGUAGUCCCAGCCGUAAACUGUGCGCGUUAGGUGUAUCGGUGACCACGAGUCACCGAGGUGCCGAAGGGAAACCGUGAAACGUGCCGCCUGGGAAGUACGGUCGCAAGGCUGAAACUUAAAGGAAUUGGCGGGGAGCACCACAACGGGUGGAGCCUGCGGUUUAAUUGGACUCAACGCCGGGAAGCUCACCGGAUAAGACAGCGGAAUGAUUGCCGGGCUGAAGACUCUGCAUGACUAGCUG